ACUCCUACGGGAGGCAGCAGUGGGGAAUAUUGCACAAUGGGCGCAAGCCUGAUGCAGCCAUGCCGCGUGUAUGAAGAAGGCCUUCGGGUUGUAAAGUACUUUCAGCGGGGAGGAAGGCGAUAAGGUUAAUAACCUUGUUGAUUGACGUUACCCGCAGAAGAAGCACCGGCUAACUCCGUGCCAGCAGCCGCGGUAAUACGGAGGGUGCAAGCGUUAAUCGGAAUUACUGGGCGUAAAGCGCACGCAGGCGGUCUGUCAAGUCGGAUGUGAAAUCCCCGGGCUCAACCUGGGAACUGCAUUCGAAACUGGCAGGCUAGAGUCUUGUAGAGGGGGGUAGAAUUCCAGGUGUAGCGGUGAAAUGCGUAGAGAUCUGGAGGAAUACCGGUGGCGAAGGCGGCCCCCUGGACAAAGACUGACGCUCAGGUGCGAAAGCGUGGGGAGCAAACAGGAUUAGAAACCCUGGUAGUCCCAUGA
rnacentral:rRNA from 1 species